rnacentral:misc_RNA from 1 species
UGGGACUACUGGGGUUUCUAAUCCUGUUUGCUCCCCACGCUUUCGCGCCUCAGCGUCAGGUACGGGCCAGGAAGCCGCCUUCGCCACCGGUGUUCCUCUCGAUAUCUACAGAUUUCACCCCUACACCGAGAGUUCCACUUCCCUCUCCCGCCCUCAAGCGAGGUAGUUUCGAGCGCCGUUCCUCAGUUAAGCUGAGGUAUUUCACACUCGACUUGCCAAGCCGCCUGCGCGCCCUUUACGCCCAGUAAUUCCGAACAACACUCGCCCCCUCCGUAUUACCGCGGCGGCUGGCACU